rnacentral:lncRNA from 1 species
UUCCUAAAAAAAAAAAAAUUGUGGUGAUGUUUGAAUUUUGGGACACUCGUCAGCGAAGAAGAAUUAUUGUUUUCCAUUUUGCUGUCCAGUUAUUGUAUUUCCGUAUAUAAUGCAACACCAGGAAAGAGUACGUAAUGAUGCGAAGGUUACAAGCUAUGACGUCGAAAAUCUCCUUAUACGGUAUGGAAAUUGGAUUGUUUAUAAAAAAUGAUUUGGUUUUCAUAACAAGGAAGAAAAACUGAAGACACGAGGCAAGAAUGAGAGAUCGUGAGAGUUGGUACUAAGACCUGGUCAAGAGAGGACCGGGCACUCCUCGUCAAGAUGGACGAGCGGAGUUUGCGAAGCAGCAGAGAGAAGGAUUGGAUUUUUAAAGGCAAGUAAAGUUUUCCCUUUGUUUGAGUUUAGUCUUAUUGUAAUUAAAAGUGUUCACUUAUUCGUCAAUUUACCCCCUUUCAGGUCGCGUAAACCCCAGCCGGUAAAAACGGC